rnacentral:rRNA from 1 species
GUAGGGAAUAUUGGGCAAUGGUCGGAAGACUGACCCAGCCAUGCCGCGUGCAGGAAGACGGCCCUCUGGGUUGUAAACUGCUUUUAUCUGGGAAGAAAAAGGCCAUGCGUGGCAAAUUGCCGGUACCAGAUGAAUAAGCACCGGCUAACUCCGUGCCAGCAGCCGCGGUAAUACGGAGGGUGCGAGCGUCGUCCGGAUUUAUUGGGUUUAAAGGGUGCGUAGGCGGCUGAUUAAGUCAGCGGUGAAAGACUUCGGCUUAACCGGAGCAGUGCCGUUGAUACUGGUUGGCGUGAGUGUCGGAGGGGUACAUGGAAUUGAUGGUGUAGCGGUGAAAUGCAUAGAUACCAUCAGGAACACCGAUAGCGAAGGCAUUGUACUGGCCGACAACUGACGCUGAUGCACGAAAGUGUGGGGAUCGAACAGGAUUAGAUACCCUUGGAGUCC